GUGCAGCAGGCGAGAAACCUCCGCAAUGCACGCAAGUGCGACGGGGGAACCCCAAGUGCCACUCUUAACGGGGUGGCUUUUCAGAAGUGUAAAAAGCUUCUGGAAUAAGGGCUGGGCAAGACCGGUGCCAGCCGCCGCGGUAACACCGGCAGCUCAAGUGGUAGCCGCUUUUAUUGGGCCUAAAGCGUCCGUAGCCGGUCUGAUAAGUCUCUGGUGAAAUCCCGCAGCUUAACUGUGGGAAUUGCUGGAGAUACUAUCAUGACUCGAGGUCGGGAGAGGCUGGAGGUACUCCCAGGGUAGGGGUGAAAUCCUGUAAUCCUGGGAGGACCACCUGUGGCGAAGGCGUCCAGCUGGAACGAACCUGACGGUGAGGGACGAAAGCCAGGGGCGCGAACCGGAUUAGAUACCCCCGUAGUCC
rnacentral:rRNA from 1 species